GCACGUCAUCACAAAUACACCAUUCCCACCGUGAAGCACGGUGGUGGCAGCAUCAUGAUGAAGCACGGUGGUGGCAGCAUCAUCAUCGUCUUAGUGAGGCAGAUGGUAAACAUUAUGUGUACUCUGUGUCUUUUCUGAGUCUCAGCAGGUCAUCCUACAUGUCAAAAGGUCACGAAGACGUUGAAAUGCUGUUUUCCACGUCUGGAAGAGGCUGUGGAGGCAGAAAUCCGUGUGCAGCUGUUCCUCAGUGAGCUGUUCUAGGACUCUGCUGAUCCUAUUAGUUUGUACGUCCACACUGAUGAGAGCAGAAAAUGACUCCACAGCUUUAAACACAAACACAGGACACGACUUAAGACCACAUUACACUGACUUACAUAAUCAGCAGCCUGAUCUGAAGCAAACUGCAGCACCGUGGAGCUGAAAUUAACCCCAGAAAACUCACAUUUAUCAAGUACAGUGAAACCUGUUACGGUGGAGAGUGGUGUGAAGUUAAUUAUUGCAGCUUUCUGAUUCAUCUGAAUCUGAUCUGAAAAUAUAAUAAUGUCAAUGUUGGACUCAUUUAAUGAGUAUAUAUUUUAGAUUAAUUGGCAAUCUUUAUCUCUAAGAUAACAGUUUACAGUCAUUAAAAAACAAACACAACAGCUAUUAAAUGAUUUUUAAAAAACUGUUAAAUAUUUGAUCUAUACUGUAUUUUAGGUACAACGACUGUUCUUUACGAGUUUUUAAAGUAUUAUUUCUGGCAGUAAGGGAGCCACAUUUUCACCAUAUUUAUUUUUACAGGUGUUGUAUCAGUUAAUUAGUUUAAUUAAUUGUUUUCUGGCAGAAUGGGUGACAGAAUUUCUAAAUUUUUAACAUUAAAAAAAACAUUUUAACAUAUCUUUUAAAUUAUUGAUUUAUUUUGAUUUAUUUUUCCAAGUGGGUACUGUAAAUGUCUGAUAAAUUGUAUUAUUAUUCUCCUGCACAGUAUUGUUUAUGUAUUAAGAAGACAUUGUAGUCCUGCAGUGCCACCUUGUGGUCUGUUCCGCUUUUAUUUUGUUAAGUGCGCGUUUCUUCUUCUGCGGUUUUUGUGACGCCGAACUUCCUGUUUCUUUGUCUAAGCAACGUUGUGCUCACACAUCGUCGGAGAAACGGUAAAAGCUGUCUAAAAACAGUAGUUAUACAUCACAUUUAUCUGUUUGAUUUGUAUUAAGGAAAGGUUUACAUUGUGAUUUACCUCAUUAUCCUGUAUUCGUAGCUCUGAACAGCGACGUGUGUGUGUAUGUCGAGCUGGAGAGCAUGCUAGCUGAUGGCUAACACCUAAAUUAGCGCCCUUGGAACGGCGGAAUGAGUUUUCACGGUGCUGUCCAGAGUGAGAAUAAAUCAACACCCGUUUGAAACUCUGUGUCUUGCUGAAUGAAUCCAAGGGGCCGCUACAGACAUGAAGGAUGACGGUUUGGAUGCAGCUGGACGGGCUCAUGGGAAACCUGCAGCUGUCUUCAGGUAACAUCUGGACUCUCUGCUGGAGGCGUCACAGGCAGACGAGCUGGAAUCGGACUCAAACGGCGUCUUGUCUCAACUCGCCUCGACUCAUCAAUUCGGUGGCGAAGAUCCCUGAAGAACUGAUCUCAUCUCUGUUGUCUGAGCCUUUUCUCUGCAACAAAAACAAGCCUGUGACAGCAGUAAUCCGACCAGUGCCGAGUUUCUGCUCCUGCAAAUUGGUUGCAUGUACAAAUGCAAUGAUUUCUCAGAUACCUGGUUGGAAAUUCAGGAAGACAUUCUCAAUUUGAUGACAGUAUGACCAACAAACCUUCUUUAUUUAUCAUAAUAGUAUAUAGAAACAUAGCAUGCCAUGAUGCUGCCACCACCAUGCUUCUUAGUGGGAAUAGUAUGUUUGCGAUGAUGUGCAAAGUUUGGUGUCUGUCAAACAUAAUGUCUGAUCUAUUCGCCAAAAAGCUGCUUUUUGUCUCCAUUUUUAACAAAAAAGUUACGUUCAGCAUGGCGUUGGCAGCAUCAUUACAUAUCAUGCUAUCACCUCGAGUUUUGAUUAUGUGCAAACAUAGCGUCUAGUCUGAUGGACAAAAAGCUCCAUUUUGGUCAUCAUGAUGCUGCCACCACCGUGCUUCAUAUCAUAAUGUUGUCACCACCAUGCUUGACAUCAUGAUGCUGCCACCAUCGUGCUUCAUAUCAUAAUGUUGUCACCACCAUGCUUCACAUCAUCAUACUGCCACCACCAUGCUUGUUUUACUGCACUUAUCCAGGUUGUUUUCUCCUGACUAGAUCCUUGCUUGUGUUGUAUCUACUCUCGGAUUUACGUCACUUUGGAUAAAAGCAUCUGCUAAAUGAAAAAGUAGAAUUAUCAUCUCUUUCUAGUAACUCCUUCAGAGCAGAGAUGUCAUAGGUGUCUUGGUGGCCUCCCUCACUCAUCUCUUUCUUGCUCAGUUUUUGAGGACGUCCUGCUCUAGUCAGAUUUACUCAUGUUCCGUAUUUCUUACUUUUCUUAAUUAUUGAUUGAACUGGACUCCAAGACAUAUUCAGUAACUUGGACAUUUUUUUUAUGUCAUCAUCUGACUGAUGAAUUUCAGUAACCUCUUCUCAGACUUUCUUGGAGUGUUCUUCAGCCUUCAUGGUGUAGUUCUAUCCAGGAGUACUGAUCCACCAGUGACUGGACCAUCCAGAUACAGGAGUCUCUAUGCUACAAUCACUGAGACACAUUCACUGACUUCAGAUGAUCAGCAGUUCCUGAAUUUUGUGACUUCUGGCACCAACAGGCUCCACUUCAUACUAUGUGUAAGUUUAAGCUUAUGAUACCGAUGAGAGCUCCUUCAGUCAAAUUUUAUUUUUGUCUUGUUGUGAGUUAUCUCUUCUUCCAGUCUCAGAUUUUGGUUUUCCGAAUAUUAACAAAAGAAAAAGGAUGCUAUCCACAUAUAUGAGAAAGCAGGGGAAGAAAAAUCAAAAACAGAGAUCAGAGCAGUGUCGCAGCUGUAGCACAUAUUUUCAUCUGAAACAAUAAAAUUCUCCGUUCAGUGCAGCAGCUGUGACGGGGCAGGGUGGCGGUUUCUUUGUGUUGUGGGGAGAAAUAACUUUAUUUCAGCGCCUUUAUUUAAUAGUGAUGAGUUUCAUGUCGUUUCCUCUGAGGCUGAGCUGCUUGUCUCCUCUCAACAGCUUCAGAUUUCCACCAGUGAGGGAUUCAAGGGGUCAACAAACACGAGAACUUUAAAUGAGUCAGCCAUCUCACUGUAAUUAGGAUCCUUUAACUACAAAAUCAAUCCUCUUUUUCCUGAGCUGUGUUCACAUUUUCAGCCUUUCUGCCGCCGUCCAUCCAUCUGUCCAGGCUGCUGACUGAUGGAUUCAUUCCGACACUUCCUCUCCUCAUGAUUUGCUCUGUUUGUUUCCCCUCAAAAAAGCCUCAGCCUGUAGAAAAUGUAGGUUUUCCUUUUGCUCAUUUUGUGUCUCGUGAUCAUUUUGCAUCUCUUUCAUGCAAACGACCAAAAUUAAAUGCACUUUUUUGUCACACCUGGGACAUUUUGUGUCUCUUUGUGGUAAAUUUUUGGCCUUUUUAGCCGUUAUUAUAUAAGACAGUAGAGGGAGAGACAGGAAAUGUGGGGAAAAGACAUGCAGCAAAUGGCCGUGGGUCAGACUCGAACCAGUCGCCCUCUCACCCAGUUGAGCUACUGGGGCGUCCUCUUUGUGGUAAUUUGGCAUGAGUUUAUGUUAGGUUUUUUUGUGCCAUUUUUGUCAUUUUCUGUCUUAAUUUGAUCAUUUCUGAUUCCCUGCGACUGUUUGCUUUUCAUUUUGGUUGUUCUACAUCUUUGGUUUGCAUCCAUAUGAGCCGGGUUCUGCUCAAGGUUUCUUCAAGUUUUUUCUUGCCAAUGUCUUCUUAGAGCUUGCUCUGGGGGUUCAGGUCAUUUGGGUUCUGUAAAUCGUCCUGAGACAAUCUGAAUUGUAAUUGACGCUAUAUAAAUACCAUUGAAUUUAACUGAAUUCUGCUUCACUUUGAGGUAAUUUUUUUAGUCACAUUUGAGUUAUUUUUGUAUCUCAUUUUGUGGCUUGUUGUCAUGGUUUGCAUUUAAUUUGGGACAUUUUGUACAUUUUUGUGUCAUUUUUGUGUCAUUUUGCAUCUCUUUAUGGCUGUUUUUGUACCAUUUGAUUCAUUUUCUGUCAUUCUGAUGAGUUUGCAUCUUUUUGCAUUUUGUUGCUUUUAACUUUGGUCAUUUGCUGACUCAUUUUUGUAUAUUUGGCAUCUCUGUGGUCACUUUGUUGUGACAUUUGGCACACUUUGUGUCGCUUUAUUUUAGACCUUUUUGUAACAAUUUUUAAAAAAAAAGGUUCUUUAGUCUGAGAAAAAAAUGCUUUUUGUUCAUCAGACUACACAAUUUCUUUGUCAGACACCAAACACUGCACAUCAUCACAAACACCAUCCCCAACGUGAAGCAUGGUGGUGGCAGCAGCAUGAUGUGAAGCAUGGUGGUGGCAGCAUCAUGAUGUGAAGCAUGGUGGUGGCAGCAUCAUGAUGUGAAGCAUGGUGGUGGCAGCAUCAUGAUGUGAAGCAUGGUGGUGGCAGCAUCAUGAUGUGAAGCAUGGUGGUGGCAGCAUCAUGACGUGAAGCAUGGUGGUGGCAGCAUGAUGACGUGAAGCAUGGUGGUGGCAGCAUCAUGACGUGAAGCAUGGUGGUGCCAUCAUCAUGACGUGAAGCAUGGUGGUGGCAGCAUCAUGACGUGAAGCAUGGUGGUGGCAUCAUCAUGAUGUGAAGCAUGGUGGUGGCAGCAUCAUGACGUGAAGCAUGGUGGUGGCAGCAUCAUGACGUGAAGCAUGGUGGUGGCAGUAUGAUGACGUGAAGCAUGGUGGUGGCAGCAUCAUGACGUGAAGCAUGGUGGUGGCAGUAUGAUGAUGUGAAGCAUGGUGGUGGCAGCAUCAUGAUGUGAAGCAUGGUGGUGGCAUCAUCAUGAUGUGAAGCAUGGUGGUCGCAGCAUCAUGACGUGAAGCAUGGUGGUGGCAGUAUGAUGAUGUGAAGCAUGGUGGUGGCAGUAUGAUGAUGUGAAGCAUGGUGGUGGCAUGAUGUGGGUAUGUUUUCAGCAGCAGGGUAUGGAAUGCUUGUAAAGGUUGAGGGUAAAAUUAUCUAGUUCAUCAGGUUCAUGUUUUUGUCCAGAUAAAAGUGGCUGCUAAACUCCAAACGUCUCUCCAGCUCCAAGCAUUUCUAAUCCAGCAGAACUUUGAACAGACGCCGGCGAGUCUUUCAUUCGUUGUCACAGCGAGGUCGUAAUGUUUCCAAUGUCUUCAAAUGUCUUCCACCGAAGCAACGGAGGUUUUAAGAAGAGAGUUUUGGCUUUAUUUCAUCGUCAGGCAUCGGCCUGCAAAAUUUACACAAGCAUGUGUGAGAUAAAGAGGAAGAGGCUGAAGCUCGGACAGGAAGGCUGCAGCUGUAAAUCUGCAGGAAGUCGGAGAAAGUCGGCCAAUACAGUAGAAGCAGGGGUGACUGAUGGUGGAGGGACAGCAGAUAGAUCGUCUUCUGUUCUCACUUUCGGCCUCCAACACAACAACAGACGUCUUCACCUCUGAAGAGCGUUAAAGGACAACUGCUGACUCCUCAAAUCUGCCUGGACGUGCUGUAAAUAUUAAAACAGCAGCUUUUAAUUCAAACAAACACAAGUUUAAAGUAGAAAAACAACACAUCCACAAGUCUGAGUUGAUUGUCGACUGAAGUACAUGAACAGACAUUCUGGCAUAAAAAUGUUUUAUUUGACAUCUUUUGAAAGGGGAAGUAUUGCUUAAGGAAACUAUCUGGUGUCUGAAACCACAGCUGGAAGAAGUAUUUAGAUCCUUUAGUUGAGUAAAAGUACCAAUAAAACAAAGUAAAAAUACUUCUAAGAAAUAAUGGUUGGGUUCAACAACAAAAAGCUGAAUUCACACAACCAUUUGCGUCAAUCUUUUAGGGUUACAAGAACUUCUGAUAAAACCAUUCUCAACAAAUAAAAGUACAAAACUGUACGUAAUAACAGUACUUGAGUAAAUGUAUGUAGUUGCUUAGCAGAGUAUGUUUGUGUGGGACACCAGUGCUGAGAUAAAUAUAAUGUUCAAAAACUGUGAAAAUGACAGGGAAUCACUUAAAGAUAAUAUUUUAAAUGAUUUAAAUACAGUUAAACUUUUUUACAGUCACAUGUUGGAAAAUAACUAAUUUUUAUUUACUGAUGUGGACAUUAUUAUGCUCUGUUUCAGGCUAUUGUUUUUAUGAUUAACAUGUAUUUUAAUACUUUUUCUGUGGACAGAGAAAAUCUAAAAUAACAUUUAAAAUGUUGAAAAUGUAUUUGCUAUAUUUGUCAAAGUUUUUAUAUAUAUAUAUACACACACUUAUAUAUGUUUAAAUAUAUAUACACAUAUAUGUGUCAUAGCAGUCAUGCAAUAAAAUAGUGUGAUUUUAUUGUCAGGCAAUGUAAAAGAACAAACCACUAAUUGUGAAAAUGUUGAUUUUUGAAGUGAACAUUUACAGUUUGGAUAAUUUUUUUAAAAUUAAAACGUAAAUUAAUCUAUUUUUCCUGCUCUUUUUACUAGAUAUCUGUAAAUGAAACAAAACAGAAAAUCUGUGAAGUAAUAGUUAAAAAAAUAUUUUUCUUAAUCUACAUAUUUUUUUCUUUCAAAUGACUGUAAAUAUCUUUAAAACAAUGAGAUUUCUUUUAGGUGAUUUUGAAACAGUAGAAAAUAGUGUAAUUUUACUGUCCGAUGGUGUAAAGGAAUAAAUUAUUUGUUUAAAAAAAUACAAAUUUUUGAUGUGGACAACAUGUGAAUGAGUACUUUUUCUGUGAACAGGGAAAAUCUAUAAAAUAACAAUUAAAAAAAUUAUUUACUAUUAUUCAAUCUUUAACAUACAUAAUUUUUCUUUCAAAUAAUGACAAAUAUUUGUUUAAAAAAAAGUACAGUUUGGGUCAGUUUCUUUCAGAAUUAAAAUGCAAAUUAAUAUUUUUUUCUGCAAUUUUAUUAAAUACCUGUAAUGUAACAAAAGAGGGAAAUCUGUAAAAUAACAGCUGAAAUAUUAAUAUGCCAUUUUCCUGAGUCUACAUAUUUUUUCUUUCAAAUAACAGCAAGUAUUUUUAAAAAAUAUGUAUUUUAUAGCAAAUUUUAAGACAUUGUAAGUUUAAGGUCACACAUUGUAAAUGAAUAAUUAACUAUUUGCAAAAGUACAGAUGUUUGAUGUGGAAAAAAUGAUAGUAUUUGUAGAAGUAGUAAGAAAAUGUGUGAUUAAAGUGCUUUUGCAAAGGAAAAUUGUCUUGAGGAAAUGUUAAGACAUGCAUGUGGGAUGUUCUUUUCGGACAUAACAUCCGACAUUUGAUGUUAAAUGAACCUUUCCUUUUUUAAUUAUCCACCUUUAUUCUCCAUAAAUCCUCUUUUCUCUCGGUUUUGGACUGAAUUCUGAGACUUGCUCAUGAGAAAGCUCAGCGGAGAAACUCUCAGCUACUUUUUAAUCCUUUGAGCCUCGAUUGAAAUUCACGGGGACCAUUUAGCGCCGGCGGGCCUCGACUCGCCGGGGACCCGACCGGACCAUCCUUCUUCUCCGAGGCCCGUCUGUCACCUGUCAGGAUUAUCCAGCCGUUCAGCCAGACCUUGUUAUUGAAAAGCUCCAGCAGGAGGAAAUGUCCAAUUUCUGUGAUAUUUUACUUUGUAAUGAAAUGUCAGGAGGACGUGAAAAGGAGGAGAUGCUCCAUAAAUCCCACCUUUGGAGUGUUUUGGUGUCUGAGGCCAUGUUUUAUUCACGGCGUCUCUCCUCGCUGCUUGUGUUCGCCUCUCCGGGUUUGACGUCGGCGGGUAAACGAAGACGGACAGGUCCAGGUUUUCUUUUGUCUGCAGACUCAGUUCAGUCCUUAAAGAAAAGAAUCUUAUUAAAGAACCAAGGAUUGGUUAUUUUAUUUCAGUUGGUAUUAAGAAAACAAGUCUGUUGGCGCUGAUAUUUGCAUCUUGGGUUCCAGAAGGAAAAGUCUUUUUGGUUUUCUUCACAGGUGAUGUUAAUGAUGAAUAUUCAGUACAAAAGAUUAACUUCUGUGGGACAAAAUGUUGAAUUCUUUGAUUAAAGAAAGUUCAAGCACAUGGAUGUAAAAGCUGAUGGGCUCCUGGUUUUGGACACUUUCUUCCCGGUUUGUUCUGUACAGGUUUUGGACUGGUGUGGAGCUACCUUCAGAGGAUUUUUGAAAUUGGCUUUGGACUUGGUUUUGGAAUUGGUUUUAGAUCGAUUUUGGACAAAUUUUCAGCUAGCUUCAGGUAGAUUUUGUCACUGU